rnacentral:lncRNA from 1 species
GGCGUUGAAUUCGUGGUGUUAAUCCGCCUUUUGAUUUAAGUCAAAGAAGAGAUUUUUUUUUUUUGGUAUGCUUAGGCGUUAUCUAAUCGCAAGAGUUGGCUCUUGGUGAUAUGGAGUUGGAUUGCUCUGCCACUCUGUAGCUUCGAGUGGAUCGGAGGAUUCCUUAGCUUGCUAAAGCAAAAAACUGAUGACUGUCAUCGAAUCGAAUUUGGAAAAAAGAUCUCUCAUUUUAAUAAAGAAUUAGUUGGAAAGGGGCAGUGAGGGUUAUACAAUGGUCUUGAGGUUGCAAGGGUGCCAAUGUAGUUGCUGGAACGCCAUUGUGAUGUUCAGGUUGUGGAUUCUGAAGUCGCAUUGAUUUAGAAGGCUGUUGCAAAUUAGCAUUCCAUUGCCCAUGGAUAAGUAAGUGUUCAAACAGUCCCUGCCAAAUGAAAAUCAUGUCGAUGCUGGAGCACCUGCGAGGCCCCCAUCUGUUUACUAGAAGCAUUUUCCAAGUAUCGAGUUGAUGCAUGGAGUAGGAAAGUUCUGAUCAUUCCAUUGGCAUGCGUUCCUUUUGAAUGUUAGAAGGUGAAUCUCAUAUCACAACAAGGCUGGCUAUUGUCAUUUCUUUGUGAAUGUUAGAAUAUUUUGGCACUGGCCACUAGGUUAAUGAUCAUUGCGUUUGGCUUGUUAACUACUCCCUCUAGUAACAAAAGUGGCGACUUGGGCAUGGUUACAUCCCCCCAAGAAAUAACUUUGACCACCUUUGAUUUCUACAGUAAAACAUAGUAAAUUACAAACCGAAAUUCAUAUGAAGGUAUUGCAGGUCAAACUAAAAUGGAUUUUCUGCCCAAAUCAUUGCCUUUGUUGUGACUUGAGAGAGUACCUAAGUUUCAGUUUUUCAUAGGUUCUAAAUUAGAAUCUAACUAAUACUACCUCUGUCCCAAAUUGUAGGUCGUUUUGGCUUUUCUAGGUGCAUAGUUUUUGCUAUGCAUCUGGAUAUAGUGUAUGUCUAGAUGCAUAAUAAUAUCUAUGAACUUAGAAAAGCCAAAACGGCGUACAAUUUGAAACGGAAGGAGUAUAUCAUUAGAAAUCUUCUGUUGCUUUUACAGUUUCAACUGAAAAGCUUUGUGCCGCACUGUUGAUAUUCACUAGCAUCAUGUUUCUUUGUAACCACGCCCUAAGAACUUCUUCUUAUUUCAGGUCAAAGAAGAUGUUUGGUUUCUCCAUUUCGCUUAUCCUCAUCAACCUAGCUUCUAUAUUGGAACGAGCUGAUGAGAAUCUCCUCCCAGCUGUUUACAAGGAAGUCAGUGCUGCUUUUGAUGCUGGUCCUACUGAUCUGGGGUACCUUACAUUUAUGAUGAACUUUCUGAAGUCCAUAGCAUCUCCCUUGGCAGGUGUCCUUGCUCUUCACUAUGACCGCCCUGCAGUUCUUGCCCUAGGGACUGCUUUCUGGGCUUUAUCAACGGGAGCUGUUGGUGUAAGCCAGUAUUUUGGGCAGGUUGCAUUCUGGAGAGCUGUAAAUGGUUUUGGACUUGCAAUUGUAAUACCAGCACUUCAAUCCUUCAUUGCUGAUAGUUACAAAGAUGGCACACGUGGAGCAGGAUUUGGUUUGCUAGCGCUUAUUGGUUCGGUAGGUGGUAUAGGAGGUAGUGUUUUGGCGACAAUCGUGGCUGGAGGGGAUUAUUAUGGUUUGCCAGGAUGGCGGCUUGCAUUUAUAUUGGUUGCAUUUGUGAGCUUUGUAAUUGGACUUCUUGUAUACCUUUACGCUGUUGAUCCUAGAAAAACUUCUCCAAGCCAUUAUGGUGGUGAUGAGGACAAUGAGAGGUAUGGUUUUCUUCUGAUUUUUAGAAAAUACUCUUUAGUUGCCUAUUCAUAUUUUAAAAGAUAAACGACACCAAGUUGUAUUAGGAAGGCAUAAGUAGCAUUACUGCAUUGCUGCUUGUCUACUGGACAAUUUUCAUCUGAGUGGAAGAUUACCGAAACAUGCUUUAUUCUUCCUAGCUGAUGUGCUGGAUGACUGUAAAUAUCAGCGUACCAUUUAACCCUGUACACCACUGGAUUUAUUCAAGCAAAACCCUGUUCACCACUGGAAUUGUGCAUUUGCGUAUUAGCAUAACAAUAUUAUCUUAUGCAAAUGGCAGGUCACAUUUGGUUAGCAAUGGUAUCCUUCCUCCGCAUUCUAUCUGGAAGGAUUCAUGGAUGGCGGCGAGAUCAGUAAUGAAAGUGCGGACAUUUCAAAUCAUUGUAUUGCAAGGCAUUGUUGGCUCUUUGCCAUGGGCUGCUGUAGUUUUCUUCACCAUGUGGUUUGAACUCAUUGGUAAGAAAGCAAUGGACUUUUUUCAAUGCUUGAACUGAUAAGUGUCCCUUGCUGUAAUUGAACAUUUACAUUCUUCAACCCUCCUAGGUUUCAACAACAGCAGCUCAGCAGCGCUGAACAGCUUUUUUGCUAUUGGGUGUGCCAGUGGAUCAUUUCUAGGUGGUGUGAUAGCAGACCGCCUAUCAAGAUACUAUCCAGAUUCUGCUCGAAUCAUGUGUGCGCAGUUUAGCGCCUUCAUGGGCAUCCCCUUUUCAUGGAUCCUCCUUACAGUCAUUCCCCAGUCUGUUGAUUACUGGUUGGCCUAUGCUGUCACACUCUUCUUAAUGGGCAUCACCAUAAGCUGGUGCGCUACUUGUGCAAACAACCCCAUGUUCGCAGAGGUAGUCCCUCCCAAGCACCGCACGAUGAUCUAUGCCUUUGAUCGUGCAUUUGAAGGCUCAUUUGGCUCACUGGCUGCACCUGCCGUUGGCAUCGUCACUGAAAGGAUUUAUGGCUACAAUGCAAAGACUAUUGAUCUAGCGCAUGGAUCAGUGGAUGGAGCUUAUGCACUCUCCAGAGGUCUAUUGGCUAUGAUGAUUGUCCCUUUUGCUCUGUGUCUCAUGUUUUACACCCCAUUGUACACUGUGUUCAAGCGUGACCGAGAUAACGCUAGAUUGGCCAGCAUCAAAGAACAGGAGCUCAUAUGAAAGGUUUCUGACGAGGAAUACUGAUGUGGUUUCUUGAUUCAGUUGGUGCCAGUUUCUAGGUUUGAUUAUUAACAUUUACAACACUGCCAACCUGGAAGUUUUGAUUGAAGUACUUUGGUUGAUGGCUAGGAAAUUCGCUUUUCAUGUUUCUUCAGGCUGAUGUCAUACAAGAGCACAUGUUUUUUUUAUACAAGUGAUUGAUUGGAUAACCUCAUUCACUCUCAAUGUAGUCAGUCGUUUGUACGUGUAGACCUUAUUUGAAGAGAGGAUAUCGCAAUUACUUUUUUUUUGUAGAUAGAUAGUUGGCACUUGCCACCUACAUUCUCAUUGUGUUUCUAUACACAAUAUGUAAACUUGUAUUGGAUUGCCUGAACCAUGAGGCCAAGGCAAUGGUAAUCUUUAGCAGAAAUAUUGUACCAGAUUCAGUUUAUCAAUCUUAGAAGAUUUAUACUUUUUUGACAAAGCAUUUGUCCAGCACAUUGAAGAUGGAACUAUUCAAGACUGAAUUAUUUUUCUGCAACACUCCUAUAAUAAUUCCUGUAAAUCAUACUGUCUCUGACCUCAUCUGACUUUCAGCAGUCUAGCAGAUGAAUGAUGGACGCAAGGGAGGAGUGUAGGAAACAGGAAAAUGGCCUGUGGAUGAGGCUUGCAAUGAGAUGAGGGAAAUAUCCUUUGAUUCUGGCUUUUACAUCACCUGGCAUUCUUUCUUAGUAAGAUUUUAUACGGAAUAGUCUAUGGUUGGCAAGCCAUUACCGUAGCAUCAUAUGUGGCUCCAAAAAAAAAUUAGAGCUAAUUAUAGUCAAUUGGUUCUCUUGCCAAGAAUUUCUCUCUUGAUAUACUACAGUCCAGCCAUAUUAAAAUCUUUAUAUCUUUUCACAUAGAAAAAAAUUCGAAUUUUUUCAUUCAUCUACAGAAACUGACAAAUGAUUGGCUGGACGUGAAUAUACUUCCACUGUAUAUUGGGAGUGUAACUAUGGCCACAUCUUUUCCAUAAAUAGCAGAAAUAUAUGCAAUCUUGGGCUAUAAAAAUGCAAGGGAUCACUGUACCAAAUUCAACUGCAAAUUCCAAACCCCAAGAUCCAAAAGAAAUUCACCAUGAGGUCCCCAUCCCUGCUCCUCCUCGCCAUCCUGCUUGCCGCCGCCGUCUCCCUCCAAUCCGCCGCCGACACCCCCGAGCUGCUCGGCGCGGAGAAGACCACCCGCCUGCGUUUCUUCCUCCACGACACCCUGAGCGGGAAGGACCCGUCCGCCGUCCUCGUCGCCCGCGGCGAAGGCCGCACGCCCAAGCCCGAGGACCCGGUGCCCUUCAGCUCCCUCUACGCCACCGACGACCUGCUCACCGAGGGCCCCGAGCCGGGGUCCAAGGUGGUCGGGAACGCGCAGGGCCUGUACAUCUCGUCCGGGAGGGGAAAGCUGUCGCUCGUCCUCGGCAUGGACUUCGAGCUCACCGACGGGCCCUUCAACGGCAGCGCCUUCGUCAUCUACUCACGGAACACGGUCGUGACGCACCCCGUCGGGAGGGAGCUCGCCAUCGUCGGCGGUCGCGGCAAGUUCCGGAUGGCCCGGGGAUACGCCUUGCUCCGGACCCACGUCUUGGACAACAACAAUGGCGACGCCAUCAUAGAGUACAACGUCACCCUUCAUCACCAUUGAGUUGCUCGUAGAUUCGGGGUCUGUUCGCUUCAGCUUAUAAGCCGGCUGAAAAGCUGAACGGCUGAUUUGUUAUGAGAGAAAAACACUGUUUGAUGUUUUCGUUGUGGUAGAAUAAUGCUAGAUACCUUUGUAUUGUUCGAUCUGGUUCUGUUUUCAGUUUGCUCGAUCGUGUAAAAUGUAUCAUGGAACUCGAGUCAUGUUCGUCGCAUUGCAUACAUGAGUGCUCGUUUAUUGCAUACGCAACACUACAGAGGGCUCUAGCUUAUUCUUUAGGGAGAGGGCGCAUCAAUGGCGGAUGCCUCCAUUUCAUGCACACGACACGCCUCUCCAUGUCGCACACAAUGCAAGCACACACCAACCACACGUGUAGUAACGGUUCAUCGACAGGGAAGGGAAGAAUAGCCUCCUAGACCAGGAUCUCCAGAGUCCAUCUGUAAAGCUCCUGCUCCGCCACGGGGAUGUCGAGCGUGACGAGCCCCGUGUCAUCGUCGUAGGUGAACUCCACCUCCGCCGCGUCCAGCGUGCACCGCGCCGGCCUCCGCGAGCAGUAGGCGCCGAACCGGCCGCAGCCGCGGACCCUGAGCCGCACGGCGGCGGCCGUGGCUUCGUCCGCGGCGGGGGCUUCGCACUCCUCCACCGCCCCGCCGGAGUUGAACAUGUCGAGUAGCCCGAUGGGCGCGAACGAGACGCCCGUCGCCGCCACCGCCCUGACGGGGGAGACGUGGAACAGCUCGAACUCGAGGACCUUGAGAGUCACCGGCAGCGUGGCGCCCUUGGGCAGCCUGAUGAGCUCCCCCGACCGGUAGGCGUACACGACGGCCUCGCCGCCCCAGCCCGUGCCGGCGAGGUCGGCGAUCGCGUCCACGUCGUCGGCGCGGACGGUCCCCGUGAGCGUACCCGGCGCGGCGUCGUGGACCCGGGUCUUCUUGGUGACGCGGCACCAGCCGGCGCCCUGGCAGUUGAACACGCCCACCACACCCGUGCACUUGUUCACGUUCCAGAUCUUGAGCAGGCUGCCGAAACGGCGAGUCACGUCAGAUCAGGUGAUUCCUCUGCUGAUUCUGAUUCUGGGAAGGUAAAGGGAAUGGAUAUGUGGUCGGCUCACCUGGUGCCGUCGCGCGCCGGGUCGGCGAAGAGGCAGUCGCGGGUGGGGCGGCCGGGGAGCUGGGCGCGGAGCACGGAGCCGUCGGGGAGCACGAGCUUCUUGAGCAGCUCGAAGUUGUGGUUGCCCGGCUUGUCGCUGCAGGUGAGACAGACACGCGAGAGCACAGCGUCAGGAAUCGCAAGCCACUUUAGUUCGAGACCAGACGAACUCGCACGCCGUCAGUCGGACGGCGACAAUGGCGGUCACAACCACCGCGUCGCUCUCGACAGGCACGACGCGGUGCGUGCAAGCCGUGCAGAUUGCUAUGGCAGCUUCUGUGCCAGGGAACGCCGCCGACGAUGUGCCGACGGCGACGGCCAAUCAUGGCGGUGGCGAGCGGAUCAGCACGACAAGCCCCGCCCGCGCCGGCGCUGACAUGCCAUGGACCAAGGGCAACCCAAUCAUUCAGGUUUCCCUCUCUCCAGGGAUCACUUUGCCGGCUGGCCGCGACUGCAAUGGACGCCGUGACAACGACCGCGAAUUCGAGAUCGAGAGCCGUGGCUCACCUGACGUAGAUCGGGCAGCCGCCGAUCGCCCGCGCCGCGCCGUGGUACUCCGCCGCCGGGUGCAGGCUCUGCAGGAUCACAUGCAUUUGGACCCGUCAGCCAUCAAAUUGAACAACAAAACCAUUCCCAUUUGGAAAAGAAGCUGUACGUACAUGGAACAUGUCCCAGUCGGGCUGCAUGAACUCGCCGAGGAAGAGGGUGUUGUAGGCGACGGAGGAGACGUGGACGGUGUGCGACGCCGGGUCGCGCGGGUAGAAGUCGUCGGAGGCGCGCACGACGGCGGUCUGGCGCGCGCUGUAGAGCAUGUCGGUGUUGUGGCACAUGCAGGAGAUGCACCCGUUGUCGGGGAAGUUGCGCGCCACCGAGGCCUCGAGGGCGCGGUGAUACGCCCGCGUCAGCGACACCCGGCCGCCAUGGCCGGCGCCCAGGGUCUCGAUGAUGUUCUGCACGUCCACCUUGACGCCGUCCACGCCGCAGGAGGCCAGGUACGCGUGGAGCUCGUCGUAGAAGCUGAGCACCUUGCGCGGGUGCACGAGCCCCAGGCCCAGAACAGAGAGCGAGUCCAUGACGAUGUCCGGCUGGUUGCCCAUGACCCCCGGCGACUGGACGGGGUACGCCAGCGCGCUCUCGUAGUGCUCCAUCCCCUCCGCCGCCGGCUUCACGCCGCCCCAGUAACCCGCCAUGGCGUGCCACACGUACACGUACUUGACGCCAUGCUCGCGCUUCGCCUCCUCCACCAGCAGCUUCAGCCCAGGGGUCUGGCUCUGCUCCUCGGGGGUGUUCUUGGUGCCGUCGUUCUUAUUCUUCUGGAACUUGGCGUUCUCCUUGAUCCCCGUCAGCCUGCUGGCGAACCUGCAGCAUUAUCGCAAUACCAACUUGAGCUUCAUUCACUUGUUCGAUUGUCAGAGUAGAGUUGGUUCGAUCAAAAAUGAAUGGUAAUGGCACGUACUGCGCGCCUUCCUGGACGACGGCGUUGGACUCCUCCUUGUUCUCGCUGCCGAUCUGCUGCCACCCGUCGUCGAUGAUCAGGAACCGCGGUGGCGUGCCGCCUUCCGCCAAGCUGCAGCCAUCGCCAAAGUUUCAGAACGUCAAACUGUUAACACUAGUCUGGAACUGAAUAUUCAAUACUAGUUCAUGUUUUCCUCGAUACAAAUCAGGUAUAAAAUGCUCUAAGGUGUCUUUUGUCAAUAGUAAUAGUAGUAGUAGUAACAAUCAUUGGCACUGUUAGAAAAUAAAAUGGUUUACCUCUGGAGUCCCUGCUUGACGCCCUCGGCUGUGACGUCGGUGUAGAAGGCGUCCCAAGUGCACCAGCCGAACCAGUCCACGAACGAUGGCAGCUGCACCACCACCGAGCCAAACCAACAGUUAGUCGAGUCCCCCGCAACCGCAAAGCGACACCGCCCGGCUCGCCACGCAACGGAAAACAAAAGGCAGCCACUAUCCUAGUCCUAGCGAGUCACAUGAGUCACCCAAGACAAAAAUCUGAAGAAAAGAGAUGGAACCCAACCAACCUUUUUCUUUUCCCUGUGGUGGAACGUCUGCAGGUGCCUCUCCACCACCCUGUAAAACUUAAACACACGAUUAGUUUUUUGAACUCUAUUUGUAUACUACUACUAGGUCUUACUGCCGUAGUUAUUGGGAAAUGCAAGUGAAAAGUUUAUUUUAAAAAAAUGCAAGUGAAUUGUUGAAAGAUGAUUAGGGUGAGGUAAUGACACUUCAGUAGACAACUAAACAUGAUAAGAGUGAGAAAGUAUGGAGAUGGAGGAAAGAAGAAAACGCACUUGACAGCCUGAGUGAUGGUGUCGAAGGGGUUGGUCCCGGCGUGCACGUACACCAUGUACGUCCCCUGCGCCGUCUGCACCGCCUUGUCGCCUAUGAGAAAUAUCGCCGGCGUCGGCGAGCGAGCACCACCGAUCAGCAAAAGUCUGGACGCGGUCACGUGAAACACGGCAGAAAGAAACGAAGACGACGGCUUUGGCCGGGCGCUUACCGCUCUCGAGGGUGAUCUCGAGCUCGUCGCGCUCGUUGCCCUGCAGCGCGGCGCGGAACUGGCCCUCCAGCAGCGGCAGCAUCACCAGGUACACCGUCUCGCCGCUUUCCUCGUCGUCGCCGCCGCCGCCGCCGGUGCCCGGGCGGCUCUCCAGGAGCAUGAACUGCGUCUCCAGCGGGACGUCGCGGCCGGAGGUGCCCAUGCGCUGCGUCAUCCACCACAGCUUGAACCGGAAGCAGCACAUGAAUCGCAGCUCCCUGCAUGCACGCGUGGUUCACCACUUACUAACAUCCUCUCGCGCGGUAAAAAAAAAAAAAAGAAACAAAAUAACAGUUGCAGUGCUCUGCAUGGAGAAUUGGCGAUGAAGAUGAAGAAAAGCAAGGAAAAAAAUGGCCAAGAAGCUGAGGAAAUAAUGGAAAGAGGACAUGGAGCUUCGCCAAGUGUCCUGAACCUUCCGGACAAGUGGGAGUUCUGGUGAGUUCCAAUCAUCAAGUACAGUCCUCUCUAAAACAUGACACAAGUCCUAGUUUUAUGAACUUUUAGACAUGACGUCUGAAAUCUCUGCUCCACACAUUCUUCUCCACUGAAUGAUCUGAUCUGACACCCUUCCCAAAUCCCAAACAACCAGAUAGGAGUAGUUCAGAGGAUCUGGUGCAUGACUGACUGGUGAUGGUGCUCUGCUCACCUGAGGGUGCCGAAGGUGAAGACGUGCAUGCUCUUGGCCUCGCCGGCGGUGGCGCCGACGAAGGCGCCGUCGACGAGCCCCGCCCCGGAGGCGUGCGUCAGCACGAUGUUCUCCGGCACGCCGGUCAAGAUCGUCCGCCCGUGCGCCACCAGCCGCCCAUCCCCCACCGUGAUCUUCGGCGUCACCGUCAUCUCUCUGCCGCCGAUCAGAGAACUCCCACUGGAAUUAUACCACUAAUAAUACUAUUAUCUCCUGUUUUUACACGCUAAUCACUCUAAUUAGCGCGGUGACACAAGCUACCAGUCCUGGUUACUUACGGCUACUCGUAAUUAGCUGCCCUCGCAAGGAAGGAGGAGGGCGCCGGGCCGGAGCUUAUAUAGCCGUGGCGAACUGGCAAUGGCGCCGGGCGCCACGCCGAGCUGACACGUGGCGUGCCGGAAAUGGUAAAAACGGAGACGAUUCUACCCCUGCUUGUGUAAAAGCCAGCCGCCAUUGCCGGAGGCCGGAGCACUUCAUGCUUCUGGACGGAAAAUAUCUUCUCCUCUCUCUCGCGUGCUCCAGCCAGCCAUGGGAUUUGGUGAUGAAGGAUGGGGAUUUCAGGAGAUGGUUGGAGAAUAUACUGGCUCUGCACUAGUGUAUUUUGUUGGGGGCAGGUAAGGGUGGCUGGCAUGUGGGCCCCAGCGAGGAGAUUUUGUUGUCUUCUUUUUGGGCGUCUCUCUCGUGAAGGAUCCAGAGUGAAUGUUCCAGCCUUCCAGCUAUGAUCUGUCCCAAAAUUUUGGUGUAAUCUUUUUGAUGUCUCGUCAACGCGCUCGUGGAUUUUGGUCUCUGCUUUGCAGUAUUUUUCAGGCAAUGUUUUGCUACAUUUUGUUUGUUUGUCUGGAAAAUUAAACCCAGAAUAGGUAUCUGAAGAAGUUUUGGUACUCAGCGAAAAAUGACGGUGCAAGAGAAGUUAGCUGUAAAGAAUUGGUGCUCUGUUCGCUUCAGCUUAUCAGCCAUUGAACAGUGUUUUUCUCUCAUGACAAAUCAGCCGUUUCAACUUUUCAACCGACUUAUAAGUCCAGCCGAACAUAGCCUGGAUCCUUUCGUCAUCUCAUCCAUACACUCUAACGUUAGCCACAGCGACCCAAUCGUUUUGCCGGAGAUUUGGAGCGUGUCUUGGCUCGAUCUUUUCCUUUUGUCACGUUGUAUGGAGAUCCUUUUCUUCCCAAGAACUAUUGGACAAGAAACAGCACAGAUUGUGAAAGACAAGUUUGCAAAACUAGCUACAGCUUUUGCCACAUCUUCUUCAAGGCUCCUCUGGCUCAGCUUGAGCACAGAUUCAUUUAUCAGAAACCAGCAACCAUGCAUCUUUCCACUUAUCCAGCAAGCUUCCUCUGGCUCAGCUUGAGCAUAUCUUUUCCCGUGCAAUCAACAAGUCAAACCUUUCUACAUACCCCCAUUCAUUCAUUCAUUCAUUCUGAGCAACACUCGUCUCGGCCAUGAUUGGAAUCUAUGAUGAUGCAUGCCUUUUCCUAUCAGUCUCCGUUUGACUCGGUUCUGGCCUCUGCUCCUGUGAGGAGGCUCUGAUUGAGCAUCGAUCAUGCAUUGCCUGACACGACAGGGGGGUCUCGCUCGUUGUUAAUCUCAGUUUGGGCCAACUUUGAACGCAAACCAAUCCUUUAAUCGGGAAUCACAUUCCAUGCCUCCAUGCAUUGGACACAGGACACGUUGUGGUGGUUAAGUAGGUUAUGAUGCUAAGGGUGGUUCAACGUACUUAUAUAGUGAUCGGAAUGUGCCUGCUUAUCCUGUUUGAAGCAGAGUAUGUCAGUGAUAGCUCUUUUUUUUUAUAUAGGAUUUCAGUGAUAACUUUCCAUGGGAAAAGAUAGAGAAGAAGCACGCAGAGUGUACCACAUGUACAGCUCUGUGAUGCAAGACAUUUUCACGAACAUUUGCAACAGGUGCAUUCCGGAUGGCACGUAAUUCCAAAGAGGGCCUAGCCUAUGAUGUUUGGAUGAGGCUCGCUCGCUUACUGUUUGGAUGAGGCUCGCUCGCAGUACUCCUUCUGCGGUUGAAUCACUGACGUAUUAUUUUAGAUUCAUAUGCAAGCGGAUCAAUUAUUUUGUAUUUUCAGUAAAACUUUAGUAGCUAAAGUUUAACGGCUACGGAUCCAAACAGAAUAGCUGAAAUUAAGCUAAACUUUAACUAAGACCAAAAUGUACACAAUCUCUUUAGUUGUUGCAACCCAGCUAAAUCUAGCUAAAAACAUGUUUAAAGACGAAAUUGCCCUCUUAUUUUCUCGUGUCCGUAUCGGGUUCAACAACUCCAGCUAAAAUUAGUGGAUUUGACGAUCCAAUUAGCUGGAGGAUUCAAACAACUCCAGCUAAAGUUAGCUGGAGUGGAUUCAAACAGGAUCUUUGUAUCGUGUUGACAAUAGUAAAAGAUAGCGAAAGAUAUUGGGCGCCGCGCGCGCCGCGCGCGUACAAACUAGACGGGGGCGGAGACACGUCAGUGGGACGUUACCGGGGUAUAUGAUUGCAGGACCAAUUGGCUGGACGUUUCUUUUCAACCGGCGGAGUCUAAUCAUUUGCCGCCGGCCGGCCUCUAUCGUCGCUUCACUUCCAUCAUUGAGCUCGCAUGAGGCACUGGCCACUCGUAUCGCCCCGGCGCACGUUUUGCUUUGGCAACCGCCAAUUCUCCCCUCUGGCUGCGAAAUGAACAGGUGUGUACGUAUACAUCGCGGUUUUUUCUCUCUCUCGAAUAAUGGCUCCCGAUUGGUACCUGGCUGCCGAUGCAAGACAAGUCUGGGAUGGGAACGAGAACCAUGCGCGACGCGUCGCUACCGUUGAACGUGCGACAGUACAUUUGGGCCUGUCGCGUUUGGCGACCUUGGGGAGACGAGAGAGCCGGCUUCGUGUUUCAUUGCAUAGACAAGGUUAGCUAUUGUUUAAGGCAAUGUAUCCCACACAUCUGCUUGGAAAAAGAAGAAGAAGAAGAAGAAAAUGUUGCACUAUUGAUCUCAACUUCGCAACAAAAUAAAACAAGCGAGAUCAAUCGUCUAUUUUCUUCCUCUUACAUGCAUUCGUUACUCCUAUUAGCGAUUUAAUGCUCAUAAAAUCCUGUUAAGACCGAUCUAAGAAACAAAUUGGACUAAGGGAUUUUAGAGACCAAACAGCUAGCUAGGCAUUCGUGUCUUGGAUGUGCCCGCGUUUUGUGAGGAUUAUGGUUUGUUCCGAUCCUCUUCUGAAGUUUGAAAACAAACAUCGGUAAAGAAACGACCUUCCAUCCAGCUAUAAAAGUCUCGGUUAUUUUUGGAUCCGGGACUAAAUAAGCUUUAGUCCUGGGUCCAAAAACUAGCUCCGAUGGGGCUCUUUGGUCCCAGUCAACCUAAUUUAUCACCGCCACCGGCAGCCUUAUCUCUCCCCACUACCUUAUCCUCUUUCUCAACCCACCACAGGCCUCUCCCUCCCUCCCUCCACCGCUUCCUCUCCUCCCUCACCGCCUUUCUCCUCCCCGACUAGGCUGUCGGCAUGCGGCCCUCCCCAGCCUAGCCGCCGGCGCGCGGGGCCUCCCCAGCCGCCCCUAGCCGUCGGCGUGCGGGCCCUCCUCAGCUGGGCCCCAGGGAGCUGGCUGCCAUCGGCGCGUGGCCCGCCGGCGCGCGUGCGGGUGAGAUGGCGAAUGGGGAAGCUUUUGGAUACGAGAAGCCGGUGAAUGUUUCGUUUGUGAGUGAUUCUGUAGUUUGUGAUUUGUUUGUGAAUGAUUCAUUUGUGAUUGUGCUGGUGAAUCCUUCGUGUCGUGAAUCAAAUCGAACUCAUGUAUUGUGAAUCAGAUCUUGUGCGAAUUGAUUGGUUAUGUGUUCUUACUUGUGUGAUGGUCAUGUGAGAUGAGCAUAUAUGUUUCUUACUUCAAUCUGUGAAGUAUAAAUUGUUUUGAUUGUCUCUGUGGUGGAGUUGGAGCUCAAGGAGGUGGUACGGUGGUUAAGGAGGAGGGGGGGGGGGGGGGCGGUGCGAGUAGGGACGGGGCCGUUUUUUUUAUUUUUUGGAACCUUUUGAUCCGGUUGUUAAUACCGACCGCGACGAAAGAGAGGACCUUUAGUCUCAAAUAAUUAGUUCUAAUUAAAUUUUCGAGAGAUAUGAGAUUUACCAACUGCAACUAAUGCUCACAUCUCCACCACCUAAGGGUGCUAGUGCUGCGCGCCUGCACCCCGACAAGUUGGAUGCAUGGCGCCGAUCGAAGCGUCUGGACUCUGGACCCGAGCCCCACACAUCUGGCAGCUUCCCAUCGGUAUCAGGCUAAAGCAUGUGCCAGAUCAGAAACAAUCUUCAAGUCUAAGCAUCUCGAGCCUGAUUUUUUUUUUUGUUUCGUUGCUUGUAUCCAACUCUCUAGCCACUACCACGUUAGACGAUGAAUCAAAAGCCUUUCUUGGAGGGACUUCCAGUGAUCCUCGUGCGGAUUUCUCGAGAACGUUGAAAGCCACGGUAUUUACUAAUAAUAAGCAUUGUGGACUUGUAAUAAAGUUGGAAGCAGCAUCUAGUGGUUUCCCAGCACACGAGUACUCGUGUAGUCGUGUGCCUUGGCCAUUUGGAGGCUUUUUCAACGUGUCUGGUUCUCUAGUGGUUUUCAACGGAGCUUGACAUGGGCACUCGUGUGCCAAAAAUGACGCGAGCGAGAACGGGAGCCGCGCGCGGAGGAGAAGCGCAACGGGCCGCGGGAAGCGGAAGCUCCUCGGCCGGCCCAAACGGCGUUGGGCCACAAGCACCGAUGGAGAGAGAAAGCGACGCGCAGUCGUGCCCGGGCUUUGCUUGACGGGCCGACGGCCCGUUUCUGCGCGGCCCGGUGCCUCCCUCCUCCCCUCCUGCGAGGCUGCGAACGUAUCAGGAAAAAAAAAAAGCCUCCUGCGACUGCGAGCCAGUUCUUGUAUGGCCCCACAAGUUGUUUUUUUUUUAUAAUCCCCACAAGUUGGUUGGGGCCAGCCGGCCAGAACAACGCAAGCCUUGAGUAGCAGCAGCCAGCAGCAGUUUCCACACACAAACAAAUUUUACUUACAAGUUACAAGUAAGACUUCUGCCACUCCAGCAUUCGUUCCAGUACAUGCUUCUUCAUGUACACUCACAGUACGUACGGACAGAAACACCAUGCCUUUACAGACCAA